rnacentral:tRNA from 1 species
UGAUGUAGCUCAGUGGUAGAGCACUUGGCUAGAAGGUUCAAGCCCUGGGUUCAAUCCUCAGCACAUCAA